rnacentral:antisense_RNA from 2 species
AUCAAUGGUGACCAUGCGCAGGGCACCCUCGGGUGCGCCGGGUUUGCCAUAUGGGCCGGUCUACCAACCUUCGCAUGGUCACCACCUUU